GAUUUUCAUCUAAGAAAGUCAUCAACGACAAAGUUGUAUAACUCAUCAAGACCUAUAACUUUUAUUUUUAUUAUUUCUUCAUCCGAUAAAGUGUUAGUAACAUUGCUAACAAAAUUGACAUAUCUGUGUUAUAGUUUAUAAAACCAAAUGAGAGAUAUGUGAAUUUUGUAAACAAUGUUACUAUCACUUUGUUGGAUGAAGAAAUGACCAAAAUAAAAGUUAUAGAUCUUGAUGAGUUAUACAAUUUUGUUGUGAUGACCUUUUGAAUUGAAAUC
rnacentral:pre_miRNA from 1 species